rnacentral:lncRNA from 1 species
CCAGAUCUGCGGCGCCGUUGCUCUUCCGUCGCUGCAACCGUCGGCCGCCAUCUCUGUUCGCGAAGCAAGGCCGCCGCGUGAACCUGUAACCGCCGGCUGUCUCCUCCUCUCCUUUCUCCUCUGUUUUCAGCCCAGCCGCCGCCGAUUCCUUCUCCUCCGUCGUCUGCACUGCCGCGCGACUCUCCGGCCAUUUGUAUACGGUCUCUCCGUCGCACGUCAUCUCUUCGCAAAGCCACUGCUCGAUUUCUUUCGUGAAGAUUUGGGUAAGUUGCAAAAAGAUUCACAUUGGGUUGAAUUUAAAUGACUGAUGCGUUGAAGGGAAUUAUUGAGAAAUUGUCUUAAUGUUUAGGUUCGUUCUUCAUAGACUUCAACGUGGUUAAGGAGCUUAACAAAUUUGAAGGUAAGGGAUUUUCUACUGGACUCACUUAUGAUUGUGAAUUGCAUGUCUGAAUGAUUAUCUUUGACUGAGUAAAGAUGUUGAGAUGAUACUUAUGUUUAUACACGUAUGGGUGUAGAUUCGGUGCUGAAUGUACACUGUGGAUUGACUGAAAAUAUAUAUACAUAUGCAUAGGAAUUGAAGUAGACUUAAUGUGGAAUGCAUAUUGUGAUUGUCAUGGAAUAUAUAUAUAUGUGUGUGGAUGUGGACAGGACGAAAAUUGUAGAUUAUGCUUGUAUGAGAUGCAGAUGCGAUCUUGUGAUUGUCGUUUAGAUUGGGUGUCGUUACGCUAAAGUAUGACUGUGUGCUGGUGAUCUGAGGGGUGUAUUGACUGUAUAGUUUGAUUGACUGAUGUAUUAGUAUGUUAUUGACAGACAUAUGACCUAAGUGAGAUAAGUUGACUGUUAGGACGUUGAGAGAAAGAACUCUAUGUUUUGAAGUAUCUGAAGGAUGGGUUGAAUGGAAUGAGGGGAUAAAUUGUUAGGUUGUAUUGGGAUGAUUACCUUGUAGGUGUCCCACGGGAUCACCAAUUUAUUUUUGCACCUUCGGGAGCAUUUGACUGAUAUGUGUUCUGCAGAACACUAGACUGAUAUGUACGUCCCUCGGGGCGUUAGACUGAUAUGUACGUCCUUCGGGGCGUUAGACUGAAAUGUGUAUCCUACGGGAUCACAAGACUGCGACUGUACAGGGUGUCCCAAUAGAACUUUAACAAUUUAUUUUCCCCUGACGAGACCAGUAGAGGGUCUCUUACUGAGUAUUUAAAAUACUCACCCUUCUUAUGUUUAAUUUUCAGGCAAAGGUAAUAAAGGCGGCAAACCGGCGAGGGGCAGGAAGGAAGCGUGAUGCCAUAGGAAACGUGUAAUUGCUUCCGCUUAAUUAAGAUUGAUUUGAAAUUUAGUUUACAAACGUUUGUUGCAAACAGUAUUAGUUUAUGUUUUCUUGAAUGUUUAAAAAUCAGGCCUGACUUGAAGAUGUUUUUUUUUUUUAAAUUGCUUACGUUUUUUUUUUAUUUUAAUCAGAGUCUUUUAUUUGUUAAAAACUAACGAUCUCGACUUACUUAGAAAAGUUGGGUCGUUACAGUUGGUAUCAGAGCCUAAGUUUUAGGUUCUGUAGACUGACUUACGAUGUAAGUCUAUGUUUUUGUGUUCCUAUGGCAAACGCGACCCUUCGUCUCUCGUCAGGUAUGCUUUAUGCUUAUAUGUAUGGUUUAUUUGCAUGACCUUGCCUAAAUUAAACUAGAUUGCAUGACGAUAAAGACUUGCUUAUGUUUAUGAUUAAGAUUUUGUUAAAGAGUGUUGUUGGUGGGUAAUAGGAAUUAUGCCGCCAAGGGAAGAAGUACGUAGAGGAGGUCGUAGAGGCCGAGGUAGAGGAGUAGUAGGGCCGAGGUAGAGGAGCAGGUCGUAAUCAGCCUACUGAGGGUCAAGCUGAACAGCAAAUUCCUGCUGCACCCGUGACUCACGUUGAGUUUGAUGCACUGUCUGCUCACAUGGAGCAGAGGUUUACAGAACUUAUGACAGCUAUAGCUCAAAACCAGCAGGCACCUGCAGUCCCACCUGCACCUGUAGUUCCCCCUGCACCAGCAGCCCCUCCUGCACAAGAAUUACCUAACCAACUUUCUGCUGAGGCGAAACAUUUGAGGGACUUUCGGAAGUAUGACCCUCAGACGUUUGAUGGGUCACUGGAGGAUCCUACUAAAGCUGAAAUGUGGUUGUCCUAUGUGGAAACCAUAUUUAAUUACAUGAGAUGUCCUGAGGAGCACAGAGUUCAGUGUGCUGCUUUUCUACUGAGGGACAGAGGCAUUAUCUGGUGGAGGACUACAAUGCGCAUGCUAGGUGGAGAUGUGAGGCAGAUUACCUGGGAUCAGUUUAAGGACUGCUUCUAUACCAAGUUUUUCUCGGCUAACCUUAGAGACGCCAAAAGCCAGGAAUUCUUGGAGUUGAAGCAAGGAUAUAUGACAGUCGAGGAGUACGACCAGGAGUUUGAUAUGCUGUCACGUUUUGCCCCUGAGCUUGUUAGUAAUGAGCAGGCUAGAGCUGAUAGGUUCGUCAAGGGAUUGAGAGAUGAAAUUAGGGGUUUUGUGCGAGCACUAAAGCCCACUACCCAAGCUGAAGCACUGCGUCUGGCAGUGGAUAUGAGUAUUGGGAAGGAUGAAAGACAGCCAAGGAGCUUUAAUAAGGGAUCGUCGUCGGGUCAAAAGAGAAAAGUAGAGCAGAUAACUGUAGGAGUUCCUCAGAGGAACAUGAGACCAGGUGAUUCUUUUCGCAGUUUCCAGCAGAAUUCUGGCGCGUGCAGGAGACACUACUCAAGAGAGGCCAGUAUGUGAUACGUGUGGGAAACGCCACCUGGGUCGUUGUUUGAUGGGAACGAGAGUCUGUUAUAAGUGCAAGCAAGAGGGACACAUGGCUGAUAGGUGUCCCUUGAGAUCUACUGGGGCUGGAUCGAGCAGUCAGGGAGAGAGACCUCCACAGCGGGGUACAAUCUUUGCCACUAAUAGAUCAGAGGCAGAGAAGGCCGGCACAGUAGUGACAGGUACGUUACCAGUAUUGGGGCAUUUUGCCUUGACCUUGUUUGACUCGGGAUCUUCUCAUUCAUUUAUUUCAUCGCUUUUUGUGACGCAUGCAUGCUUAGAAGUGGAACCCUUAGACUAUGUUUUGUCAGUGUCUACACCGUCUGGAGAAAUUAUGUUGUCUAAGGAAAAGAUUAAAGCAUGUGAAAUUGAAAUAGCUGGUCGUGUGUACUGGACGUAACCUUGUUGGUAUUAGAUAUGCGUGACUUUGAUGUAAUUUUAGGUAUGGAUUGGCUAGCUACUAAUGAUGCUAGUAUUGAUUGUUCUCGUAAGGAAGUUGUGUUUAGUCCCCCUACUGCAUCUAGCUUUAAAUUCAAGGGAGUAGGAACAGUAGUACUGCCUAAAGUAAUCUCAGCUAUGAAAGCUAGUAAACUACUCAACCAGGGUACUUGGAGUAUUUUGGCAAGUGUGGUGGAUACUAGGGAAGGUGAGACUUCUUUAACUUCAGAACCUGUGGUAAGAGACUACCCAGAUGUAUUUCCAAAAGAUCUUCCAGGACUACCGCCACAUAGAGAGGUUGAUUUUGCCAUUGAGUUGGAGCCAAACACUACUCCUAUUUCUAGAGCCCCUUAUAGGAUGGCUCCUGCUGAGUUGAAAGAACUGAAGGUACAGUUACAGGAAUUGCUUGACAAAGGCUUUAUUCGACCUAGUGUGUCACCUUGGGGUGCACCAGUAUUGUUUGUGAAGAAGAAGGAUGGGUCGAUGCGUCUUUGCAUUGACUAUAGAGAGUUGAAUAAAGUAACAGUCAAGAACAGGUAUCCUUUACCCAGAAUCGAUGAUUUUGUUCGAUCAGUUACAGGGAGCCACGGUGUUCUCUAAGAUUGACUUACGGUCAGGUUAUCACCAGUUGAGGAUUAGAGACCGUGAUAUUCCUAAGACUGCCUUUCGUUCGAGGUAUGGACAUUAUGAAUUCAUAGUGAUGUCUUUUGGUUUGACUAAUGCACCUGCUGUAUUUAUGGAUUUGAUGAACAGGGUGUUUAAGGAUUUCUUGGACACUUUUGUGAUAGUCUUCAUUGAUGAUUAUCUUGGUUUAUUCCAAGACUGAAGUCGAACAUGAGGAACAUUUUACAUAAGGUAUUAGAGACUCUUCGAGCCAAUAAACUGUAUGCUAAGUUCUCGAAGUGCGAAUUUUGGUUGAAGCAAGUGACUUUUCUUGGUCAUGUGGUUUCCAGUGAGGGAGUUUCAGUAGACCCUGCAAAGAUAGAAGCUGUUACCAGUUGGUCUCGACCCUCCACAGUUGGUGAGGUUCGUAGUUUUCUGGUGUUUAGCAGGGUACUACCGGAGGUUUGUGGAGGAUUUUUCAACGUUUGGCUACUCCUUUGACUCAGUUGACAAGGAAGGGAACUCCGUUUGUUUGGAGUCCAGCUUGUGAGGAUAGUUUUCAGAACCUUAAGCAAAGGUUAGUUACUGCACCGGUCCUUACUGUACCAGAUGGAUCAUUGGAAGUUUUGUGAUUUACAGUGAUGCUUCCAAGAAAGGACUGGGUUGUGUUUUGAUGCAGAAAGGUAAGGUGGUUGCUUAUGCCUCUCGUCAGUUGAAGAGUCACGAAGCAGAACUACCCCACACAUGAUUUGGAGUUGGCAGCAGUGGUUUUUUGCAUUGAAGAUAUGGAGACAUUACUUUGUACGGUGAAAAGAUACAAAUCUUUACUGACCAUAAGAGCCUAAAGUACUUCUUCACUCAGAAGGAGUUGAAUAUGAGACAGCCGAAGGUGGCUCGAGUUGGUAAAAGAUUAUGACUGUGAGAUAUUAUACCAUCCUGGUAAGGCGAAUGUGGUGGCUGAUGCUCUUAGUAGAAAAGCAUCACAUUCGUGCAGCACUCAUUACUAGACAGGUACCAUUGCAUCGAGACUUGGAGAGAGCUGAGAUUGCAGUGUCUGUGGGGAGAGAGUCACCUCACAGCUAGCUCAAUUAACGGUGCAACCGACUCUGAGGCAGCAAGAUUGUUGAUGGCUCAGAGUAAUGAUCCUUAUUUGAUGGGAGAGACGUAGCCUUGUUGAAACAGGGCAGACUGAUGAGUUCUCCAUAUCCUCUGAUGGUGGGUUUGAUGUUUGAGAGACGUUUAUGUGUGCCAGCGAACAGUACAGUUAAGAUUGACUUACUAGAUGAAGCCCAUAAUUCCCCAUUUUCCAUGCAUCCUGGUAGCACGAAAAUGUAUCAGGAUCUAAAACGAUUUUAUUGGUGGCGGAAUAUGAAGAGAGAAGUGGCGGAAUUUGUUAGUAAGUGUCUAGUAUGUCAGCAAGUUAAGGCACCUAGACAGAAACCAGCAGGUUUACUACAACCUUUAAGUGUGCCAGAGUGGAAGUGGGAGAAUGUGUCGAUGGAUUUUAUUUCAGGGCUGCCUAAGACCCUGAAGGGUUUCACAGUGAUUCUGGUUGUCAUAGACAGGCUUACAAAAUCGGCACAUUUUGUACCAGGAAAAUCCACUUAUACUGCUAGUAAGUGGGCAGAGUUGUAUUUAACUGAGAUUGUGAGACUGCAUGGAGUGCCUGUAUCGAUUGUUUCUGAUAGGGAUGCACGGUUUACUUCCAAGUUUUGGAAGGGACUUCAGACUGCUAUGGGUACGAGAUUGGAUUUCAGUACAGCCUUUCAUCCACAGACUGAUGGUCAAACUGAACGUUUGAACCAAGUUUUAGAGGAUAUGCUACGAGCUUGUGUUAUAGAGUUUCCAGGUAGUAUGGACUCUCAUCUACAUUUGAUGGAGUUUGCUUAUAACAACAGUUUCCAGGCUACCAUCGGUAUGGCACCAUUUGAGGCUUUAUAUGGCAAAUGUUGUAGAACCCCUGUUCGUUGGAGUGAGGUUGGUGAACAUAGAUUGAUGGGACCUGAAUUAGUUCGGUCUACUAAUGAGGCUAUUCAAAAGAUUAGAGCACGUAUGCAAACAGCGCAGAGUAGACAGAAGAGUUAUGCGGAUGUACGACGAAAAGACCUUAAGUUCGAUGUGGGAGAAAAGGUAUUCUUGAAGGUAGCACCUAUGAAGGGUGUUAUGCGUUUUGAGAAGAAAGGAAAGUUAAGUCCUCGUUUUGUUGGACCAUUUGAGAUCUUAGAGAGGGUUGGUGUUGUGGCGUAUCGCUUGGCAUUACCACCAUCUCUCUCUGCAGCUCAUAAUUUUUUCAUGUUUCGAUGUUGAGGAAGUAUGUGGCCGAUACGUCUCAUGUAGUGGACUAUGAACCCUUGGAGAUUGAUGAGCAUUUGAGCUAUGUAGAACAACCUGUGGAGAUUCUGGCUAGAGAGGUAAAGAUGCUUCGUAAUAGAAGCAUUCCAUUAGUAAAGGUUUUGUGGCGGAAUCAUCGAAUUGAAGAGGCGACAUGGGAGCGAGAGGAAGAGAUGAGGACUCAUUAUCCAGAGUUAUUUCAGGAGUAAAACUUUCGAGGACGAAAGUUUCUUAAGGAGGGAAGAAUGUAAUGCCCCAAAGGUAUGUAUAUAUAUAUAUUUUGUUUUUAAUUUUAUAUAUAUAUAUAUAUAUAUUUAUACUUAAUUUAAAUAAAAAGAAAAGAAAAGAAAAGAAUAUAUUUUUCCUUCCUUCUUCCUCUCGCACGAGCGUCGCACACAACCCCUCUCUCAUUUUCUUUUCUUCUUCCCGUCCCGCCGCAGCCAACCGCAGCCCAGCCGCAACCACACCUCUAUCUUCUUCUUCCCGUCCCGCCGCAGCCAACCGCAGCCCAGCCGCAACCACACCUCUAUCUUCUUCUUUCCCGUCCCGCAGCUAGCCGCCGAUCCUUUCUUUCCAUUUUCUUCUUCCGUCCGCAGCCCCACCGCGAAGCAAGACUGCGCCGCUGCCAGUCCAGAUCUGCGGCGCCGUUGCUCUUCCGUCGCUGCAACCGUCGGCCGCCAUCUCUGUUCGCGAAGCAAGGCCGCCGCGUGAACCUGUAACCGCCGGCUGUCUCCCCUCUCCUUUCUCCUCUGUUUUCAGCCCAGCCGCCGCCGAUUCCUUCUCCUCCGUCGUCUGCACUGCCGCGCGACUCUCCGGCCAUUUGUAUACGGUCUCUCCGUCGCACGUCAUCUCUUCGCAAAGCCACUGCUCG